UAUUAAAAAUUUCAUCCAUUUUUAUUGUUAAAAAUUCGGCCCUUGUACGUCGGCAUGAGGUGCACAUGAGCUGUUUGGAUAUUUCUUUAGCUACCCGCCAAUUUUAAUAGUAAAAAUGAAUGAAAUUUUUAAUA
rfam:Gossypium hirsutum cultivar TM-1 unplaced genomic scaffold scaffold2668.1, whole genome shotgun sequence